rnacentral:rRNA from 1 species
CAGUCGCCGCGGUAAUACAGAGACUGCGAGCGUUAUUCGGAUUCACUGGGCGUAAAGGGUGCGCAGGCGGCUAAGUGUGUUAGGCGUGAAAGCCCAAGGCUUAACCUUGGAAUUGCACCUAAAACUACUUGGCUAGAGUACUGGAGAGGGAAACGGAAUUCACGGUGUAGCAGUGAAAUGCGUAGAUAUCGUGAGGAACGCCAGAGGCGAAGGCGGUUUCCUGGACAGUUACUGACGCUCAGGCACGAAAGCGUGGGGAGCAAAAGGGAUUAGAUACCCCGUAGUCCCUGUCUCUUAUACA